CACAAGGGCGGACAGCAUGCUGCUGCAGCUCUGCAGUGAUUAGGCUCAAUAACUCACUUUUCUUUCCUCUCUUCCUCUCGGUCAAUAAGCUGUUAUUUUAAACUCUAAAUAGAAAUCAGUGUUCUGUAUGUUUGCUUAGCGGUUUUACAGCAGCAAUAAGUUGGUUAAUUUGUAAGCAGAAGGUGAGGAUCAAGGACAAAGAGCUCCUGAAAGCAGGUUAGAUUCAGCGAGAUUCAAUCAAGUCUUUCCAAAGAUUCUCAGUUGGAUUCAGUCUGGACUUUAACUAGGCCAUUCUAAAUCAUGGAUCUGCUUUCCGGCAAGGCAACGCUGGAUGCUUUGUGUGCCGAACAGAUAGAGCUUCACUGGACUGAAGAACACAAGGUGGAUGUUCGAGCACCAGUUUAACUUUAACAUUAUGUGUAUUAUAAAACCCCUAGACAUUG